CUCCUCUCAGGAUCGCACCUGGAGAGCCUCCAGUACUCUACCAGUCUCGGCUGCGGGAGGGAGAGUCAAGCAGAGGCAAAUCCAUUCCAUUCCUAGGUUGGGCUGAGGCUAGAGAGUGGAAGGCAGUUUGCUACAAGU